UACGGGGGGGAGCAAGCGUUGUUCGGAUUUACUGGGCGUAAAGGGCGCGUAGGCGGCAACUCAAGUCAUCUGUGAAAUCUCCGGGCUUAACUCGGAACGGUCAGAUGAUACUGUUUUGCUAGAGUGCAGAAGGGGCAAUCGGAAUUCUCGGUGUAGCGGUGAAAUGCGUAGAUAUCGAGAGGAACACCUGCGGCGAAGGCGGGUUGCGUGGGCUGAUACUGACGCUGAGGCGCGAAAGCCAGGGGAGCGAACGGG
rnacentral:rRNA from 1 species